AACGAACGCUGGCGGCAUGCCUAACACAUGCAAGUCGAACGAGACCUUCGGGUCUAGUGGCUCACGGGUGCGUAACGCGUGGGAACCUGCCCUUAGGUUCGGAAUAACUCCCCUAAAGGGGUGCUAAUACCGGAUAAUGUCUUCGGACCAAAGAUUUAUCGCCUUUGGAUGGGCCCGCGUUGGAUUAGCUAGUUGGUAGGGUAAAAGCCUGCCAAGGCGACGAUCCAUAGCUGGUCUGAGAGGAUGAUCAGCCACACUGGGACUGAGACACGGCCCAGACUCCUACGGGAGGCAGCAGUGGGGAAUAUUGGACAAUGGGCGAAAGCCUGAUCCAGCAAUGCCGCGUGAGUGAUGAAGGCCUUAGGGUUGUAAAGCUCUUUUACCCGGGAUGAUAAUGACAGUACCGGGAGAAUAAGCUCCGGCUAACUCCGUG
rnacentral:rRNA from 1 species